GUGCUAGCCGCCGCGGUAAUACGGAGGGUGCAAGCGUUGUCCGGAAUCACUGGGUGUAAAGGGUGUGCAGGCGGGGCAGCAAGUCGGAGGUGAAAUCCCACGGCUCAACCGUGGAAGUGCCUUCGAAACUGCUGCUCUUGAGUCCCGGAGAGGCUGCCGGAAUUCGUGGUGUAGCGGUGAAAUGCGUAGAUAUCACGAGGAACACCAGAGGCGAAAGCGGGCAGCUGGACGGGUACUGACGCUCAGGCACGAAAGCCAGGGUCUCCAACCGGAUUAGAAACCCUUGUAGUCC
rnacentral:rRNA from 1 species